CGGGGGUGAACAAUCGGCCGGCCCCUGGCCAGGCCGUCCUGGGGUUGGCACCACCACCGACCCCCUGACCAAGGGCCUGGCGUGACCCCGGGGAGGAGAAGGGGGUCUCGGUCUCUUCCCACCGUCUGCCCCGAGAAACAUUUAACUGGCCUUUAAUCACAUUAGCAGCCGGCCCCAAUUAAGGCCGCGGGCGGGGGAGGCAGGGGAAACCGCCGGCCGUGUCACUUGAGGAUAAAGGUCCUUUAUGCCCCAGGCCUGGCCUGGGGCGACGCGGCGGGCCGCCGUCCCCAGCCUUUGAUUGCAGGCGCCUGGGCCUCGCCGCCGCCGCCAUCUCUUUGCCCCUUCAAACUAUCCCCGCCCCCGAUCCCCCUCCCCUGCCCCCACUGUGCCAUCGCCCUCGGGUGACCCGGUGGCCGGGCAGGACAGCGACCCAGGCCCGGACUCGAGCCCGCGCCCCCACGCCGGCCUGGACGGGCCCUCCUCCGGCCUGGGCCUGCGCCUGCGCGCUGGGAGCGCUCGAAGGGGCGGCUGCGGGGCUCACCGAGAGCCCUCGGGACGCGCCGCCUGCCCGCCGACGCCCAGCUCCCGGUCGGGACCCUGCCACUUUCUACAAAUGUUUGGCGUGCUGCAGUUCACGGGGUUGCAGGGAGUCCGACACGACUAAGUGA
rnacentral:lncRNA from 1 species